rnacentral:tRNA from 1 species
GGGCGUGUAACUCAGUGGUAGAGUGCUCGCUUCGCAUCGUCUUACCUAGUAAAACACUGAUAUUGAAAUGCGAGAAGUCCAGGGUUCAACUCCCUGCUCGUCCA